UUUAAAGUUGUGGAAACUUCUUAUGGGCGCGCUCUUGAGCUUGUCUCGUGGGACAACAGUUUGGCCAAGGCUUUGCCAUGGCGUGAUGUGGACGAGUCUCUGGGGCUGAUAGUUGACAGGCCGUUGAAAUUCAAACACCUGAGACUACGGAAAGGGCUGAAUAUUAAGAGGUGGCAUCAUGAGUAUCUGAUAAAGUUUAAGGAAUUCCCGGAUGUGUGCCCCUACACUAGUAAUCCGGAAGAGUUGGUGAAAGAGUCGAUGAGGGCGGAGAAGAGAGCUUGUGGCGUGGUGAGGGAGGUGUUGGGGAUGACUGUGGAGAAGAGGACAUUGGUGGACCAUUUGACACAUUUUAGGAAGGAGUUUGGGUUGUCGAACAAGCUGAGAGGAAUGUUGGUGAGGCACCCAGAGUUGUUUUACAUAAGCUUGAAGGGGCAGAGAGACUCUGUGUUUUUGGUGGAGGGGUAUAGCGAUAAGGGGAGACUGCUGGAGAAGGAUGACACAAUGGUUAUAAAGGAUGAGAUGAUGAAACUGGUGUUACAAGGAAAGAGGUUACGGAGGGAGGGGAGGAAGGAGCUCACGAGCAGCAACUUUGACACCCAAACUUUGGAUAAUCAAGUGUAUGAUGACGAAGAUGAUGAUGAGUAUUAUGAUGGAUUAGAUGAUCUGUUCCAGGUAGAAGAUGAUUUUAGUUCUGAUGAUGAUGAUGACGAUGACGAUGAAAGUAAAGGGCAUCAAGAGGAAAAUGAGUUUUGGAGGGCUGAGGGAACUCCAUUGCUACAAAACCAUAAUGAUUGUGGCUCAGAUCCCUGGUAGUGUCAAUAAAACUUGUAAGUUUUCUGGUUAUGUGUUGGCUCAUUGUGAUAUUUAAAAUUCCUUUCUACAUUUAUAUAGAGUAAGUUGAAAAGAAGCUUGUCUCUGUUUGUUUUCCUUUACACAUGAAUUUUGGAAUGUUGAUGGAUGUUGUUGGGAUAGACAAUCAAUUAAUAUUGUGGGUUUUGCACCAAGAAAUCGAAUCAAUUGAACCCAGCAACAAGAAAAUCAAAUGCAAAACAGAGUAAAGACACUAUCAAAUACGUGGUUCGAUCCAGUUUGGAUCUACAUCCACGGGCCAAGAGAAGGUGAUCUUUAUUGAGUAUUCAAACUAUGAUUACAACCGCAAAUCGAAGAACUCAAAUCAGACUUAGAACUAGAGCUCUCAAUUUACAAUACACACACAAACUGUGAAUCCUGACUAAGGAAGAAGAAGACUGUAGCUACAGUGCAAGGUUGUUAUAACCAACUAAAAGCCAGCUGCAAUCUGGGCCGCUUGAUGAUAAUCAACGGCUACGACUUAAUCCAGCAACUUAAAAUUUAGUUUGCAACUAAAACCCUCCGCAUCAAUAUAAUUGCAACAGAAGUCCUUCCUCCUAAAACCGAAAUGAGCUGAAAUAUUUCUAAGGCAUUGAUCCUCACAAAUAUAUAUAUAUAUACCUGUUAGAUAAAANUAUGGAAGAUCAUAUCGAAAUGAGAAGAGAUUGCCACGACGCGUAACUGAAUCAUAAAAAUGUUAUUAUAUGUGCUUCAAGGUAAAUAAAAUUUGUUUAAUUUGCUGGCUUGUUUUUAAGCAAGAAAGAAGAAAUGAAUGGUAGUUUUUUUUAACUUUUUGCCACCAAAUUUUUGCAGUAUGGAUAAGGUGCGAAUCAUUCUUUAAGAAUACCAACGACACCUAUGCGUGACAAAAAGCCAUCAUUCUUAAAAUAUAACUAGCGAUUUUUUUAGUAGUGAGUAGGACGUAUAACAACCCUUCCGUCACAAUUUUCUUGGUUUGCGAAAUAGGUUUAUAUUAAUUUGUAACAAAAAAUCUGAAAAAGUUAAUAACUUUUUGGUGGUAAGAGAAAAAAAAUAUGUGUGGCCAUUUUUGUAGUAGUGAGUAGGAUAUUUUAAUACUCGUCAUUUUUUUAUUUAAUAUGGAAUAAAUUCAUUAUUUAGCACCUCUCUUGUUGGUAAUUAUUUUUCAUCACAAAAGUAUUCAUAACUAGUUACUAUUUUUUUUAGUAGUGAGUAGGACAUGUAACAACCCUUUCAUCACAAUUUUCUUCUUAAAAAAUGGAAUAUAUACAUAUAUAUGUGAUUAAAUAAAUGAAAUCUUUCAAAUACAACAAUAUCAUAUAUGGUAAUUACACAUGCAACAUAUAAAUUAUCAUAACUACCGAUAAGAGUUUGAAAUUGCAAAAGCUUUAGUGCCUCGAAUAAAUCAAACUUUAAAAAAAAUGUGUACCACUACAUAAUUCAUUUCUUCACACCACUUUUUGCUUAUGUCAUUAUACUCACCAAUUUUAUACAAUAUAGAAAAAUUAGAAUUCCCUAAAUGUAAAUUUUGUUAGGUGACUAACAACAGAAUAGAAAGGAUGACGAGUUAGGCCUCUAUUUUCACCAAAUAUGUAACAAUAAUUCUCCUCCCACUGAGGUAUAGAAGCGAAUACAGCAAAUUCGUCACACAACAAUUCCCUUUAAAUAUCUCUCAUUUUGCACACCACACACACUCAAACACACUUCCUCUUCUUCAUCUCUCACUCUCCAUAUAAAGAGUUCCCUUUAAAUACCUCUCAUUUGCACACCACACACACUCAAACACACUUCCUCUUCUUCAUCUCUCACUCUCCAUAUAAAGAGUUCCCUUUAAAUACCUCUCAUUUGCACACCACACACACUCAAACACACUUCCUCUUCUUCAUCUCUCACUCUCCAUAUAAAGAGGGCUCCUUCUUAGCAUAUUCUUCGUCCUCACACACUCUUAUCUCACUCCUCCAAGAUUUCUCUCAAUAUCCCUCGUUUCCUCAAGCCCUAUAAUACGACGUGGGGAUUUUGCGUUCCUCGCAAUGGGGAUCGGAUGCUCAUGGUGGACACUUACGCGACGUGGUGGCAAAAGCAGUUGCUGCAUGGUGCAGCAUUUGCGGAAGUUGAUCAGAGGAAUUCCACCCCUAUCCAUAUAUUGCAGCCUCGAUGAACACCAUGCUUGGGAUUUUCUACGGUUUACCUGUCGUUCAUCCCCACAACAUCAUAAUUAAUUCUUUAAGUGAUUUUAAUCAGUGGAUUAUAAUGAUGUACCUUCUAUGUGAGCUUGUUCUUUUGGGAGUGACCAUUGUCAUCACUAUUCUUUGCUUCCAUACACAUGAAAAGAGGUCCAUGUUCGUCGGCAUCCUCUGCGAUAUUUUUGGGAUUAUUAUGGCUGGUUCUCCUCUCUCCAUACACAAAGAAUAGUGAUGACAUGGAGAGAGGAGAACCAGCCAUAAUAAUCCCAAAAAUAUCGCAGAGGAUGCCGACGAACAUGGACCUCUUUUCAUGUGUAUGGAAGCAAAGAAUAGUGAUGACAAUGGUCACUCCCAAAAGAACAAGCUCACAUAGAAGGUACAUCAUUAUAAUCCACUGAUUAAAAUCACUUAAAAGAAUUAAUUAUGAUGUUGUGGGGAUGAACGACAGGUAAACCGUAGAAAAUCCCAAGCAUGGUGUUCAUCGAGGCUGCAAUAUAUGGAUAGGGGUGGAAUUCCUCUGAUCAACUUCCGCAAAUGCUGCACCAUGCAGCAACUGCUUUUGCCACCACGUCGCGUAAGUGUCCACCAUGAGCAUCCGAUCCCCAUUGCGAGGAACGCAAAAUCCCCACGUCGUAUUAUAGGGCUUGAGGAAACGAGGGAUAUUGAGAGAAAUCUUGGAGGAGUGAGAUAAGAGUGUGUGAGGACGAAGAAUAUGCUAAGAAGGAGCCCUCUUUAUAUGGAGAGUGAGAGAUGAAGAAGAGGAAGUGUGUUUGAGUGUGUGUGGUGUAGCAAAUGAGAGGUAUUAAAGGGAACCUCUUUAUAUGGAGAGUGAGAGAUGAAGAAGAGGAAGUGUGUUUGACGUGUGUGUGGUGUGCAAAUGAGAGGUAUUUAAAGGGAACUCUUUAUAUGGAGAGUGAGAGAUGAAGAAGAGGAAGUGUGUUUGAGUGUGUGUGGUGUGCAAAAUGAGAGGUAUUUAAAGGGAAUUGUUGUGUGACGAAUUUGCUGUAUUCGCUUCUAUACCUCAGUGGGAGGAGAAUUAUUGUUACAUAUUUGGUGAAAAUAGAGGCCUAACUCGUCAUCCUUUCUAUUCUGUUGUUAGUCACCUAACAAAAUUUACAUUUAGGGAAUUCUAAUUUUUCUAUAUUGUAUAAAAUUGGUGAGUAUAAUGACAUAAGCAAAAAGUGGUGUGAAGAAAUGAAUUAUGUAGUGGUACACAUAUUUUUUUUUAAAGUUUGAUUUAUUCGAGGCACUAAAGCUUUUUGCAAUUUCAAACUCUUAUCGGUAGUUAUGAUAAUUUAUAUGUUGCAUGUGUAAUUACCAUAUAUGAUAUUGUUGUAUUUGAAAGAUUUCAUUUAUUUAAUCACAUAUAUAUGUAUAUAUUCCAUUUUUUAAGAAGAAAAUUGUGAUGAAAGGGUUGUUACAUGUCCUACUCACUACUAAAAAAAAUAGUAACUAGUUAUGAAUACUUUUGUGAUGAAAAAUAAUUACCAACAAGAGAGGUGCUAAAUAAUGAAUUUAUUCCAUAUUAAAUAAAAAAAUGACGAGUGUUAAAAUAUCCUACUCACUACUACAAAAAUGGCCACACAUAUUUUUUUCUCUUACCACCAAAAGUUAUUAACUUUUCAGAUUUUUGUUACAAAUUAAUAUAAACCUAUUUCGCAAACCAAGAAAAUUGUGACGGAAGGGUUGUUAUAUGUCCUACUCACUACUAAAAAAAUCGCUAGUUAUAUUUUAAGAAUGAUGGCUUUUUGUCACGCAUAGGUGUCGUUGGUAUUCUUAAAGAAUGAUUCGCACCUUAUCCAUACUGCAAAAAUUUGGUGGCAAAAAGUUAAAAAAAACUCCAUUCAUUUCUUCUUUCUUGCUUAAAAACAAGCCAGCAAAUUAAACAAAUUUUAUUUACCUUGAAGCACAUAUAAUAACAUUUUUAUGAUUCAGUUACGCGUCGUGGCAAUCUCUUCUCAUUUCGAUAUGAUCUUCCAUAACACUUUUCUUUAUUGCAUGAUUUGCAUCAUAGUUUUCCCUCAUUUUCUACUACCUUUAUUUCCUCUCAACAAACCCAUUUAUUUUCUCAAAACAAAUAAAGAGUUGUUAUAUAUUUGGCAAAUAUUGCUAUAGCUAACGUCCUUUUUGCCUUCUUUUUUUUAGGGUGCGUUCUCUUUGGUUGUAAAUUUAUCAUAGGAAAACGAAGGAUAAACAAAAUUUCACCAUUUAAAUUCUUAUUUUUCCCUUUAUUUCCUAUUUGACCUUUAUUCAAUCCUCUUUUUUACUACAAAUGAGGGAUAAUAUUAUCACACCAUUUUUGGAGGAAUAAUAUUAUCCCUCCUUUUAUAGUGAAAAUGAGGAAUGAGUAAGGGUCAAGUAUUAAAUAGAGGUUUUUUUAUAAAAGAAAAAGUAAAAAAGAAUCCCUUGAGAGCACAAAACGCAGACUAAGGGCACGAAACUCGAAAAUAGAUCGUUAAACAAAGAAACCUGAGUAAGGGUCAAGUAGAAAAUGAGGGAAAAGAAAAGAAUGAUUUAAAGGAUAAAAUUUUAAUAAUCCUUCAUUUUCCCAUAAUAAAUUUACAACCAUAAGAAGGAGCCCUCUUUAUAUGGAGAGUGAGAGAUGAAGAAGAGGAAGUGUGUUUGAGUGUGUGUGGUGUGCAAAUGAGAGGUAUUUAAAGGGAAUUGUUGUGUGAUGAAUUUGCUGUAUUCGCUUCUAUACCUCAGUGGGAGGAGAAUUAUUGUUACAUAUUUGGUGAAAAUAGAGGCAUAACUCUUCAUCCUUCCUUUUUUUCUCAAAAAAAAAAAAAAAAACUCUUCAUCCUUUCUGUUCUGUUGUAGUCACCUAACAAAAUUUACAUUUAGGGAAUUCUAAUUUUUCUAUACUGUAUAAAUCUGGUGUGUACAAUGACAUAAGCAAAAAGUGGUGUGAAGAAAUGAAUUAUGUAGUGGUACUACACAUUUUUUUUUUUUAAAGUUUGAUUUAUUCAAGGCACUAAAGCUUUUGCAAUUUCAAACUCUUAUCGGUAGUUAUGAUAAUUUAUAUAUAUGUUGCAUGUAAUUUAUAUGAUAUUGUUGUAUUUGAAAGAUUUCAUUUAUUUAAUCACAUAUCUAUAUAUCUAUAUAUAAUAUAAAAGAUCAAUAUAACGGUAACUUUUUACCGCCAAAUUUUCUCUCUCCCAUUUUCUGUAAAUUUAACCAAUUUCUCUCACUUCUAACCAACUAUACGUCACUUACUCUUUCUCUCUCCCUCCCUCUCUCNCUCUCUCUCUCUAUUUUUCCUUUUCUUUUUCUUUGCAAGUUUUCAAUUUUUGUUUCUUUUCUUUAAUGUUUUUUUUACAUUUAUGAUUUUUGUUUUUCCUAAAACUUAUACAUUUAAAUUAAUUAAAAAUUUUAAUACGCAUAUCAAAUUAAUAUUAUGACAUGAGCUUUAAUUUAAUUUAUAAUAGUAUAUAAAAAAGCUUUAAACUAAAAAGAAGAUAUUCAAAUUAAUUUUUUUAAUUAAUCUCUUUCUCUCUCUUAUUUUAUUAAAUGAAGUUAGUUUUUCAUCUUUUUUGUUUAUUUGCAUAAAAUAUUUUAUGAAAUCAUGAAAAUUAUGUAUAUUUUAUUAUGCAAGACUGCAAUUAUUUUUUUUACUUCUCUUAUUUCAAGUUUUUUAUUUUAUUUUUUCACUAUAUUCAUUGUUUUAAACUUGCACGAGUUUUUCAUAAUUUCUUUUUGCGUUAUACUUAUAGGUUUUUUUUUAUUGUUAUUAGUGUAGUAGAGAAAAGGACCAUAGAGCAUUUAAUUAUUUUCAUAUGUUUUGUCGUAUGUUUUGAUUGCUUCAAUAGAUUAUUUCGUAUUGGUUAUAUAUAAAAAUAUGAAAUUUAAAAUAUACAAUUGAGCUUUACAUGAGUUUUAAUUAUAAUAUUUUUUUAAAAUCCAACUCGGUGUAGGAGUUUAUAUUGGUUUAUUUUAGAAUUCUUAAAUCUAAUAGAAAAAAUAAAGAUAAAAUUCAUAGAUUUGUAAUUUAUUUUUUCCUGUAAAAAAAGUAGAAUUGAACAUAUGAUUUAUAUUUAUUAAUUUAACAAUAAUUUUUUGGUAAUAUAUAUAUAUAUAUAUUUUAAAAUGCAUUAACUUUAUAAAUUCAAUACAGUAUUCUCACAUCCUUACGAAAAACAUAAUUUUACACAAUAACCAAUCCAUAUAUAAACUAGGCAUGUGAAUAAUUUUCAUAUAAUAUUUGAAUCCCUUACUUUAUGAAGAAUGUGUAUUAAAUUAUAAGUUAUGUGUAUUAAAAAUUUUUCAUAAAUUUAAGGAUAUUUUUUAUUUAAAAUUUACCAAGCUCCUUAAAUUUUUUAGUCUGAAUACCUCUUAAUUUCGAUGUCCGUUGUGCAUCGCACGAAUGGGCGUAUACUAGUAUAUGUAUAUAUUCCAUUUUUUAAGAAGAAAAUUGUGAUGAAAGGGUUGUUACAUGUCCUACUCACUACUAAAAAAAAUAGUAACUAGUUAUGAAUACUUUUGUGAUGAAAAAUAAUUUCCAACAAGAGAGGUUCUAAAUGAAUUUAUUCCAUAAUAAAUAAAAAAAUGAUGAGUGUUAAAAUAUCCUACUCACUACUACAAAAAUGGCCACACAUAUUUUUUUCUCUUACUACCAAAAGUUAUUAACUUUUCAGAUUUUUGUUACAAAUUAAUGUAAACCUAUUUCGCAAACCAAGAAAAUUGCGACGGAAGGGUUGUUAUAUGUCCUACUCACUACUUAAAAAAUCGCUAGUUAUAUUUUAAGAAUGAUGGCUUUUUGUCACGCAUAGGUGUUGUUGGUAUUCUUAAAGAAUGAUUCGCACCUUAUCCAUACUGCAAAAAUUUGGUGUUAAAAAGUUUAAAAAAACUCCAUUCAUUUCUUCUUUCUUGCUUAAAAACAAGCCAGCAAAUUAAACAAAUUUUAUUUACCUUGAAGCACAUAUAAUAACAUUUUUAUGAUUCAGUUACGCGUCGUGGCAAUCUCUUCUCAUUUCGAUAUGAUCUUCCAUAACACUUUUCUUUAUUGCAUCAUGGUUUUCCCUCAUCUUCUACUACCUUUAUUUCCUCUCAACAAACCCAUUUAUUUUCUCAAAGCAAAUAAAGAGUAUUUGGCAAAUAUUGCUAGCUACGUCCUUUUUGCCUUUUUUUUUUAUGGUGCGUUCUCUUUGGUUGUAAAAUUUUAUCAUAGAAAAACGAAAGAUAAACAAAAUUUUACCCUUUAAAUUCUUAUUUUUNUUUUUUUAUUAUUAAUUUUUAACGAUCGGUCGUUAAAAAUAAAAUUUCGGUCGUUAUUAAAAAAAAUUAUUUAUAUUUUUUAUUUUUUUUCUCUUUUUAAGGACCGAAAUUUCGGUAUAAAAAUACGGUCGUCAAAACUGGAGCGACGAUGCAAACAACGACCGAAAAAAACGGUCGUUAAAUCGAUCGUUAAAAAUAUUAACGAUCGAUUUUUGGGUUUUAACGACCGGGUCGUUAGAGCCGCAUUUUCUUGUAGUGUUCAUUUUCCCGUAAUAAAUUUACAACCAAAUAGAACGCACCCUUAGAACUUCCCACAUGUGGGAAAUUGAAUUAGUAAUUACUAGUAUUUAAGGGCAAGUAGAAGUUUAUUUCAUGGACGGACGGAAUAUAUUUUAAAAUUAGCGUGCAUAUUGAAAAUAAAAAGGCAUGCACGUAGUGCAUGUGUGAGUAGCGUAUGCAUGAGUGCGUUUUCUGUUAUUUUAGCCUCGCUGGCAUCAUGCGUCUUGUGAGUGUGUUAGCAGCACCUUUUGUGUGCACAACAAUUAAGUUAGCUCUAGAUCUAUAAAUAGAUCUGCUUUGUAAUUCCUUUCGACUUAAUGGAAUUACGUCUCCUUCUUAGUCAUUCUGUUUCAUCUUCAUCGCUUCUCGGAUCCAUUUCUAUUAGUGCAAAAUCAAAAUUUGUUAUUAUCUCUAUAUAUAUAACAUGCUAGUUAACCAACACCCUCAAAUCCUUAUCUCACACACUAAUUAAAACACAAAACUUCAUUCCUAGCACUGGAUAUAUAAGAGCACAUCCUCCUUCGGUCCCGGCGGCCUCGACCUCACCAAAAAACUCUUCACCCACAUCGCUAGCCUACCAAACGCAACACCAAUAUAUACCGUCAUGGCCAUUGCCCAAACCAUCCUCACCCAAGACCUCUUCAAUGCCAGCAAAGAGAAGCUCUGUGGUGAGAUGCUCGACCUCCACCACGCUGCUGCCUUCCUCCCCCAGAUCAAGAUCAUCGCUUGGCAGAACCCCGGUGAGAGCAGGCUCAAUCUACUGCAGAGAAACGUGGCGAGAGGUUGUGCCGCCCGAUUGCAUAAUCUUGGUGGUUUAGAAUCCGGUCGAUGUGCUGACCUACACGGCGUGGAGGCUGUCCGGGUUCUUGCACAUCGACCGAAUUUUCCGUGGACUCAAAGGGACAACGUGAACUUCCCUUCCUACUAAGAAAUCUUGGAUUACUUGUACUCAUAUGUCACCCACUUCGACGUCCUCAAAUUCAUCAAGUUCAACUCCAAGGUGGUCGAGCUCCGCUUCUGUCAGCGGCGACCGGGAGAAAUCCGGCAACUACAGUGACCUCCUCCCCGGGUUCUGCCGCGCACGUCCUAGCAGUGAUCUUGGUCCGAAGGAGGAAGGCGGCAGCAUGCUGGAGGUCGAGCAUCUCGCCACAUAGCUUCUCUUCAUUGUUGUUGAUGAGGUCUUGGGUGAGGAUGGUCUAGGCGAUGGCCAUGCCGACGUUGCCUACGCCCACGACGGUAUAUCUCUUGGUUCUGCAUUUGGUAGGCCAGCGAUGUGGGUACAUGAAGAACUUUUUGGUGAGGUCGAGGCCGCUGGGACCGAAGGAGAAUGUGCUCUUAUAUAUCCAUUGCUAGGAAUGAAGAUCUUCAUUCAUCGCAUGCAAUACAUAUAUAAGAGCACCUCCUCCUUCGGUCCCGGCGGCCUCGAUCUCACCACAAAGUUCUUCAUCCACACGCUGGUCUACCAAACGCGCGCAGCACCAGGAUAACCGUCGUAGGCGUAGGCAACGUCGGCAUAGCCAUCGCCUAGACCAUCCUCACCCAAAACCUCAUCAACAACAAUGAAGAGAAGCUAUGUGGCGAGAUGCUCGACCUCCAGCAUGCUGCCGCCUUCCUCCCUCGGACCAAGAUCACCGCUGGGACAUGCGCGGCAGAACCCGGGGAGGAGGUCACUGUAGUUGUCGGAUUUCUCCCGAUCGCCGCUGACAGAAGCGAAGCUCGACCACCUUCGAGUUGAACUUGAUGAAUUUGAGGACGUCGAAGUGGGUGACAUAUGAGUACAAGUAAUACCGNCCGUUGGGAUGUGCGCGGCAGAACACGAGGAGGAGGUCAUUGUAGUUGCCGGAUUUCUCCCAGUCGCCGCUGACAGAAGCGGAGCUCGACCACCUUGGAGUUGAACUUGAUGAAUUUGAGGACGUCGAAGUGGGUGACAUAUGAGUACAACUAAUCCAAGAUUUCUUAGUAGGAAGGGAAGUUCUUGUUGUCCCUUCGAGUCCACGGAAAAUCCGAUCGAUGUGCGAGAACCCGAACCGCCUCCACUGCGUAGGUCAGCACAUCGACCGGAUUCUAAACCACCAAGAUUAUGCAAUCGGGCGGCACAACCUCUCGCCGCGUUUCUCUGCAGCAGAUUGAGCUUGCUCUCGCCGGGGUUCUGUCUAGUGGUGAUCUUGGUCAAAUAACUAAGCUAAACAUUCACAGUAAAAUAGAACGUAAUAACUUGGAAGGUGUUUUGCUGUAAAUGGCAUGUAUGGGCAAUAAAUAAAGCGAGAAUAGGAUUAUUAUUCGUUCCAUUAUAUUUUGCUACAAUAAAUAAAUAAAAAGCUCGAGAUAGUACCUGCCGGAGAGGGGCGGAAAAGGGCUUCGGCGACCGGAGUUAGUACGACGGGCGGUGGCAGACGGAGGCGAGAGGGCGAGUGCGGGGGUCAGUUCAGAGGGCAAUCGAAUGCCACCGGUUUCAAGCUGCGGGCGAACUGUGGGCUUUCUUCCUAAAGGCGACGACGACCGGGGGCGGCAGACGGAGGCGAUAGGGAAUUGGGCGGCGGCAGGUGAUUCUUCAGACGAGAGGGGGGGAGUCUAGCGGCCAAUCGACCACUGCCUAGAUCCAAACCAGACGGCGAAGGGCUGGGUUACGACUGGCGACGUCGUGGGGCGGCAAAUAGCGGCGAACAACGACCAGACGUGAGAGAGGGUUGGAGGGUUGCGACCGGCGCGUCGGACGGCGGCGAACGGAAGCGAAAGGCGGCAGGCGUGAGAGAGGGUUGGACAUGAAGGAUAUGGCGUGAGUUUAACUGCCAAUCGAGCACUGCCUCGAUCCAAAGCAGACGGGGAAGUGCAUAGCUGCGACCGGCGCGUCGGGUGUGAGAGAGGGCUGGGCCGUUGGAGGAGGCGCUGAACAGUAGACUAGGGUUUGAAUUGAUUUUGCCUUUCUCUCUUUUUUUUUUUAACUAGCAGAAAGAAUGGUGUGACGUUUAACAAAUGUUAUUUUAUGUGAGAAGUUAAAUAUAUAUAUAUUAUUAUAUUUUUUUUUAUGUGUAACUAAGAUCAUUUUAAAUGAUGAAAAUGAAAUAUAUAGAUAAUAUUAUAUAGUUUGAAAUAAUUUUCUUAAUUAAUUGUAUUUAUAAGAUUGACUUACUCAUUUGUCAUUACUUUUUGAAAACUCAUUUAAUAAAAUUUGAAAUAGGGACCAAUAAACUAUUAAUGAAUAAAUGAAAAUAUAAGAAACUAAUAUUCAUAUUAUAUGUCUAAAUAAAAUGCAACAAGAAUAUAUAUUCCAUAAACAUAACUUGUNGAAGCGCGCAAGCGGCUGCUGCUCCUUGGAAACUCGAGCCUUGAUGUUCUGGCGGCGGACGAAGCGAGAGCGGCGGCGCUUCUCCGAAGGAAAGAAAGAAGGAGGGAGGGAGAGAAGUGCGAAGCGGCUGCUGCUCCUUGGAAACUCGAGCCUUGAUGUUCUGGCGGCGGCUGACGAAGCGAGAGCGGCGGCGCUUCGCCGGAGGAGAGAAGGAAUGAGGGAGGGAGAGAGAGAGAGAGAGAGCGAGAGAAGUCAGAGAGCAUAGAGAGAGAGAGAACGCAUUAGAGGUUGAUUGGCCUAUUUUUUAAAAUUUUAAGUGGAGGGUUAAUUUUGUACUUUUACACAAAAACUGGCCAUAUUUUAAUGUUUUUAUUUCAUAGGCUAGAUUUUAAUUUUACAAUAUGAAAGUGGAUACUUCUAUAUAUUAACUCUACAAUGUUCAUCUAUAUAUUAAUUUUGGCAUAUUACAAGUAUUUAUCCAAAAUAAAAAUUAUUAUUAUAUAAUUAAUUCUAUUUAGUUAUUUAAAAUUAAAAUUGAGAAAAAAAGUGAAUUAAAGACUAUAAAACUAGUAUAUAUGUAAUCAACUUUAGACAGAUAAUCACUUUAUAUUGGUUCUUUUUGAAUCAUAGCUUCAUUCUUAAAGAAAACAAUAUGAGAAUGAUGCUUGUGAAUCAAGUAUAUAAAUUAUAUGUCAUCAAAUUUCAACGAAUAAUCGUUUACUGUAAGUUAUAAUGAUUUAUUAAAACUACAAUAAAGCUUAUCAAAACAAUAAUGUUAAUUGUAAUGUUAACAACAUUCACAAGAAACAUAGUGAAAAUGAAUUGCAUAUAUCACAUACGAUACUUUUUAGCAACCAAUUGAUAAUUGAACAAAAACAACAAAAAAUUUAAAUAAAAAUAAAAUGUAGCAACCAAUUGAUAAUUGAACAAAAACAACAAAAAAUUUAAAUAAAAAUAAAAUGCGCAUCCGGGGAAUCGAACCCCGGUCAGUACCGUGGGAGGGUACUAUGAUACCACUACACCAGAUGCGCUUUGACGUUAUUCACACUUGGCAUAAAUGUUCUCUUACUUAGUUAUCAGUUACGAUUUACGAAUAUCUUUUUAUGUUUUUAUUUCUUUAUAAAGCUUGUUGACAGCAGAUUUAUCCUGAGCAAAACAUCUCCUGGCUACCGAUUUCUGGUUUGAAGCCCCCUUUCCUGCUUCAACGAGCUGAGUUUUGUUUUUAGGAUAUCAUCUUGCUUUGAUUUGCUCCGGUGCCUUUUCAUCACUUGUAGUAUAGUUGAAUUCCAUGCUGUUGUUAAUUCCCAACCUAUCUUGAGUGCACCCCAGGUGUUUGAUCAAAUGCGCAGCUGAUCACCUCAAGAAAAUGGCUGCUCUACCAUUUGCUCCACCCGUUUCUCCUCUAUGGCAGCUCGAUACACCUCCUUCUGUUUCCCUCGGAUCCCAUUUUCUGCCUAAACUUGGACUUAGUGUGAGUAGGAAGAAGAGAUGCAUCAAAAACCCUGUUGUUGCCACCACAUGCUCUGCAUCUCCACACAAAAUAAUCCGUGAUCCCAGGUUAGACAAGCAUGUGGUGAAGCAGAACAAGCUGCGGUUUGUUCAAAAGCUCAAGACUCUUCUUCUUUCCAAGCCCAAGCACUUCAUGCCUAUUCAAGUUCUCUACAAAUGCCGAGCAUACUUGUCUCUACCCACCCCCCGCUCCGUCCUAGCCAUGAUUCGCCGUUAUCCCACUAUCUUCGAGCUCUUCUCUAUCCCUACUCCUGCUACUCCGUUCCACGCUGCCGGCCCUCUCUCUCAGCUUUGUGUCCGUCUCACCCCGCCUGCUGCAGCUCUUGCCAAAAAGGAGUCUGCUCUUAAGAAAUCCAUGGCUAUUUCUCUGGCAGCUAAACUCCAAAAGCUGUUAAUGCUCGCCUCCCCGUAUCACAGGCUAUUGUUAAAAAAGCUCGUGCAUUUAGCUCCCGACUUAGGCCUUCCUGUCAACUUCCGUUCCCGCCUCUGCAAUGACUAUCCGGACAAGUUUAAAGUUGUGGAAACUUCUUAUGGGCGCGCUCUUGAGCUUGUCUCGUGGGACAACAGUUUGGCCAAGGCUUUGCCAUGGCGUGAUGUGGACGAGUCGCUGGGGCUGAUAGUUGACAGGCCGUUGAAAUUCAAACACCUGAGACUGCGGAAAGGGCUGAAUAUUAAGAGGUGGCAUCAUGAGUAUCUGAUAAAGUUUAAGGAAUUCCCGGAUGUGUGCCCGUACACUAGUAAUCCGGAAGAGUUGGUGAAAGAGUCGAUGAGGGCGGAGAAGAGAGCUUGUGGUG
rnacentral:lncRNA from 1 species